UUGUUCAUUAGGGAUCUUUUGACAAUGUAUAUAGAUAGUGUACUAAUAGACUUAGUAAAUAUUUUUUAGGAAAUUCUAGGAACUUUGAAAUUGAUCAACAAACCAUUCUUGGAGUUCUAACUGCGUUCACACUGGCACAACAUCAGAUACUCCAAACGUUGGAGCUACUAAUGAAAGAUAAUAAGCGUCUUCCACAAACCCUGUACAGUACUAGGCAUAUAAUUAGGUAGCUUGCGUACUCUCGCAUGAUACACGAGUUUGAUCUUGUGUGUCGACAAAGCACACGCAUGGACAAACGAAUAUUUGCAAUUCUAUGCCAUUUACUUAGGACUGUAGCUGGUCUUUCGUUGACAAAGAUUGUUGAUGUUGAGGAAAUGGUUGUGAUGUUCUUGCAAGUCCUUACCCAUGACGUGAAGAAUCACAUAAUUCAACGAGAAUUUGUACGGUCGGGUGAGACAGUAUCUCGACAUUUUAACCUCGUCUUAUUGGCUAUGUGCUACGACUCCACUACGAGUUGAUAAAGAAACCUAUACCGAUAACAAACUACAAUGAUUAAGUUGGAAGUGCUUCGAGGUGGGCAUAGUACAAGUGGUUUGUAUGUGACCUAUCAGUAUCUGCCACUAAUGUAAGCGUGUUUGUUUAAACCUACAAAAUUACCUUGGGGUGUUGGACGGGACAUACAUAAAGGUCAACGUGCCUACAACUAAUCGCCCUACAUUCAGAACGUGUAAGGGAAAAAUUGCCACAAAUGUACUGAGCGUUUGCAACACGAAAGGGGAUUUCGUAUACGUUCUCCCCGAUUGGGAAAGAUCUGCAGUCGACUCGUGGAUUCUACAGAAUGCCCUUGCACGAUAAAACAGACUCCAAGUGCCAAAUGGUAUUCACAAUUUUUCAUCAAACCACGUCGUUUUGUACUUACAUAUUCAAAGCACAUAAAACAUUGAUUUUUGUAACAAGAUAUUAUUAUAUGUGCAAUGUGGGUUAUCCAAACUUUGAGGGAUUUCUCAUCCUAUACAGAGGCCAACAGCGUACCACUUGCAAGAGUGGCGUGGUGCUUGAAAUGCCCAACCAAUGCAAAGGAGUACUUCAACAUGAAGCACUCUUCGACAAGAAAUGUGAUUGAGUGUGCCUUUGGUGUUCUGAAGGGUUGUUCGACAAUACUUCAUGGAAAGUCGUACUAUCCCCUCCAAGUCCAGUGUCGCAUCAUCCUAGCAUGUUGCUUGUUGCACAAUUUUGUAAACACAGAAAAGACAAAUUGUGACGACAUUGACGACGUGAACGAGGGCGACUCCGCGUACGCCACGACCAUUGUUGCAUAAGACAUUCAGUGCAUUGAGAUCACAAACGAGUGGUCUCAGUGGCACGAUGAAUUAGCUGAAGCGAUGUUUCACAAAGUGACAGUUGCGUAAUGCUUAGUAUGACAACCUCAUCUCGUGCCCCGAAGCAUGUAUGGACUAAGAAGGAGGAGGACACUCUUAUAGAGUGUUCAGUGGAGUUGAUGUCCACUAGAGAAUGAAAAUCUGACAAUGGUACAUUCCAGCUAGGUUACCUUGGCCUAACUGGUACGCAUGAUGGCUAAAAAAUUCCUGGAUGUCGUGUGUCCACGCAACCACUAUAAUCGACUGCAGAAUAAAGACACUUAAGAGGACAUUCCAGGCCAUCGCAGAAAUGCAGGGGCCAGCGUGCAAUGCGUUCGGCUGAAACAAUGACACUAAAUGCAUAAUUACGGCGAAGAAAGUAUUUGAUAACUAGGUUAGGUCGCAUCCUGCAGUGACUGGACUCCUUAAUAAACUCUUUUCGUAUUACGACGAACUUGCAUAUAUGUUCGAACGCGAUAGGGUGAGGGGUCGUUUCGCUGAGACAUUCGCCGACGUCAGGUCUAACAAGCCUGUCGGGUAUGAGGGAUUUGACAUGCCGAAUGGGAACGAGGAGUUCUCAUCAGUGUACAACUAAGGGAUUGACAUGUCCAAGAGGAUGUACGCGCAUCAUGACCUUCUCACACGUCAGAGAGUAGGAUUGGAUUGAGUGGAUCAAAGAGGAAGAGGGGAAGCCAGCGAGAGGGCGAGCUUGAAGUUAUACAUAUGACCCUCGAGAGUACGAAUGAUCAACUCAGGACGAUUGCAAGUGGCCUGCACGCGCCUUUGCCAAUGAUAACCAUGUGUGCGAAGAAUUCUUACACUAUUGCGUGAGAUGCCGGAACUAAUCAGCUUGGAUAGGGCGUUGUUGCAAAGGCACCUGUUGUCUCGUAUGGACGACAUGUAGGGUUUUGUACAGAUGCCUGAUCAUGAGAGGGAGACCUUUUACACAGUUUUCCUACGAGACAUCUUCAGAUAGUUUAUGUCCUUACUUCACUGACUUGC